CCUACGGGAGGCAGCAGUGGGGAAUAUUGGGUAAUGGGCGCAAGCCUGACCCAGCAACGCCGCGUGAAGGAAGAAGGCUCUCGGGUUGUAAACUUCUUUUGUCAGGGACGAAACAAAUGACGGUACCUGACGAAUAAGCCACGGCUAACGACGUGCCAGCAGCCGCGGUAAUACGUAGGUGGCAAGCGUUAUCCGGAUUUACUGGGUGUAAAGGGAGUGUAGGAGGGAGAGCAAGUCAGAUGUGAAAUUCCAGGGCUCAACCCUGGAACUGCAUUUGAAACUGUUUUUCUUGAGUGAUGGAGAGGCAGGCGGAAUGCGGGGUGUAGCGGUGAAAUGCGUAGAUAUUAGGAGGAACACCAGUGGCGAAGGCGGCUUACUGGACUGUAACUGACGUUGAGGCUCGAAAGCGUGGGGAGCAAACAGGAUUAGAUACCCGAGUAGUC
rnacentral:rRNA from 1 species